rnacentral:ncRNA from 1 species
UUGGAAGAAGCCUAGAUGUUCUUAGCACUCUGCUCACUACCCAGCCAUUUCCGACAUGGAGGUCGGAAAAGUUGCAACGCAGACAUGGAGGUCUGCUUUGCAACGGUGGCGGACACUAUAAAUAAAUUAAAUCAGAGUGCUUAGAACACCUUG